rnacentral:lncRNA from 1 species
CAGCUGUCAAAUUACAGAAGGAAAAUAAAAACUCAUUCAUUUUUGUAUUUUUAUUUUAGAGUCACAGAACUGUUUGAGGCUGUAGUUCUGUGGAGUCCACGUGAUCAAUGAAGUAUCAGAAUAUAGUCACAGCAUAAUGGCAUGUGCUUUACUGAUGCUGUCAAAGACCUUCUGAAGACAGAAAGCACAACAGUAAAACCCUUGGAACACCAAGUGGGACUACACCUAUUGCAAGCAUAUGGCAGAUGA